UACGGAGGAUGCAAGCGUUAUCCGGAUUUAUUGGGUUUAAAGGGUGCGCAGGCUGUUCGUUAAGUCAGCGGUGAAAUGUCCCGGCUCAACCGGGGCACUGCCGUUGAUACUAGCGGACUCGAGUACGGACGGCGCCGGCGGAAUGUGUCAUGUAGCGGUGAAAUGCUUAGAUAUGCCACAGAACACCGAUCGCGAAGGCAGCUGGAGGCCGGUACUGACGCUCAGGCACGAAAGCGUGGGGAUCAAACAG
rnacentral:rRNA from 1 species